UUAUCACUCUUCGACGAUCCCUCGGCCAUGUUUCAAAACGCGCCGGCGAAAUGAUGCGACCACAUGUGACAUUGGAAUCGUUGCGUCGCGAUUUUGACAUGUCAAGGGAAUUAUUUUUUACACAGCCCAUGAAGUUACUGGAUUUAUAUCGAUAUAUAUAUCGAUUAUACUAGGCUUGUAUCGAUAUAUCGGCUUGAAUUAAUCGCUAUAUUCUCGCGGGUUUCCUGAGCCACGAGUUUCCCGGCCAUUUUGUAAAGCAUAAGCUUGUUCCAGCUACAUUUUCACAUAAUUUUAGCGUUUAAUUCUUAAUUUGAAACAUGGAUGAAUAAUUCGAUACGCAUCUAGUCCUAUUUCUAAAUAUGAUCUGCCACUUUAACCGACUAUUUCCGGAAAAAUCAAUUCCGAAGGUAUCAAUUAGAUUAGCAGAGAAGCUGGCUUAUAAAAUAUAGAUGAAUUAAAGGACCCAUUUUUGGAUGGAACAAAUGGAGAAUAUCAGGUUUUCCUCGAUCCGUCCGCUUUUUUCGCGCGAUGAGGUUCGUCGAUUCGUUCGCGAGGAUGCUUUAUCGACGCGAUGCGGCUCUUUGGCGGCGAGCGAGACGAAGCGAGGCGAGGCGAAGCGAGAGACGAACGACGAGUGACGAGACGAGACGUGGAGGUAGUGAGGAGAGGUGCUCGCGCGAUUCCUGGCAACCGGUUGCCAAGGGCCAUGCGAGGUCCUCGCGCCGCUCCUGCACUCGCCGCCUCGUCGUGGGUGGCUACCGUGACGUCCUAAUCCUGCCGCGAGUCCCUAGGGGCGAGAUCGAUACACGCCGUGAUCCGUUUCCCUUUCCCUUCCUCUCUUUCUCUCUCUCUUCCUCCUCUCUCUUCCCCCCUUGUUUUCGCGCGCGAUGGGUUAGGCACUCAUCGAUCUCGAGUCGGCGAACUUGUCGGAGACAAAAAAAAAAGGGGGAAAAAACAUGGGAAAACCCGUCCUCCGCUGAAAAUUGGCGCGCGAACACGUCUCGCCCUUCGGUUCGUGAAAAAUUGCAACAUGUGUGCGCUAUCGAAUCUAGGAAAUAUUUUAAUCAAAGUACACACUUGUGGGGAUACAUUAGCGAUAAAUUAAGUCGAGAUCAAAAACGUCUGUCAUUAAUUCAAUUAAUAUGUUAACUAUGUACUUUUUUGUCUAAUUUUACAAGACUUUUAUAGUUUUAUUGAAUGAUUUUUUUUUUUCCAAGAUCAUUCUCAAAUUUUAGUCAUCUCGUUGCGCCGAGACUUUUCGGUUGCAGCGAGCUAUACCUCGUAAAACUGACAAACUCUUGUACUACUUUAAGGCUAUUAAGAAUGUGCGAUUUGAAAAAAUCCGUCUUUCUCUUUGCAUAAUCUAUCUCUUGGAUGUACUUAUUAUGUUUUAUUUUUGUUUACAUACACAAUGCACGAAAAAUCCUACAUUUUAUUUUGCAAUUAAAGAGGGAUAAAUGAAGGUAUAUCUGUAAUAGUUAUUAUAUGCAAUUGAACACAAUUUAUGUAAAAAAAACUUGAUAUCAAGGGCUAAUAUUUAUAUAUUGAUGAUAUUUGAUAUGACAAGUUUUUAGCGCGAAUUUAGAGAAACACUGUUGCAAAUCUUUUAAAAUCUAUUCAUAGAUUUCAGAUACUUUUCUCAAGAUUUUUUAGGAUCAAUUGUUAGAUUCCGGUCUCUCGAACCCUCAGGACAAACCACAAAGUCCUUUUUUACCAAUCUCGACCAAUCGUCACCUUGCAUCCUCUUUCGUUUCUGCAACUCGUAGGUUUUCGUCUACCAGAGGAGAGGGAUGAGAGGAGGAAGGGCAAGGUUUGACCUUUUUGAGGGGAUGACGGGAUGGGUAGGACAAGGGUAGUUCGACGGCUGUCUUUUGGGGCAUCGGCCCUUGCCUCGCCGAGGGAGGGUGAGCAGGGGCGGACGAGGAGGACCUACGCGUUAUUGAGCGGCCAUUUCCCACAAAGCGCAGACGAGGGCAACCACCCCGACGAAGCGCGCGGAGUCCUCUCUUCUCUCUCUCUCUCUCUUUGCCCCUCCGCCCUCUUUUCACCCCGACCUCUCUACCCUCCGCCCUCGUCCUUUCGUCCCUUUGCGCGUCGCUCUCCCUUCGGUCUAUUACAGGCGAGAGAACCUUUCCGAGACCACGGAUAAUGCACCACCUUCAUCGACGCAUCUUUGAAAAUGGUGGAUUUCUUAAGUUCUGUUCUAGAGAUAUGACUCAUAUGUGAGAUUAAUAAAUCGAAUACACGAGAGAAGGAAAGAAAAUUUCUCGCGUAACGUUAUGUCGAGGCUGAGCGAAUUCGGAGGGCAUAAGCUCUUCUGCAGCACCACCCGGCACACCGGCGGAAUAUAUAAUCUCGGGGUCAUUGCUCGAACGAUCUUUGGGGGUUCCACCGUGGUGUCUGCAACGAGGGUGAGAGACGCCUCGAAAUACCGGACGCAGAUAUCGACCACCACUUUCCCCAAAAGACAAAAACGGAUUCGAAAUAGCGCGCGCAUCUGUAUCUCUGUUCUCCGAUAAUGACAUAUCAAUAAAUAUCAAAACAAGAGCGAAACAAUAAUAAUAACAUUUCGACUGUAUAUAUACCGGGUCGUUGCGUACGAGAUGAAAAAGGUUGCCGUUAAAUCUGAACAUCCUGUAUAACCAUACAUCUCACUUUUCUCUCGUCGCGAUUAUUUACGCCGCAUUCCGGAUAAACGGCAUAAAUAGGACGGAAAAUAAUAUGGAUAAUCAAGAUGAUUGAAUUGCCGGGGUGCCCUUUGCAUCAUGUGAUAUAACGUCAAACCGAACGCCACCAUCAUGUGGUGCGGGCUGAUGUGGUCGCUUUAAUGGUAUGCAAAUUACCAGCUGCAACUUUUUUGCUUUAUGCUUCCAAUCGGACAAGUCUAUCAUUGUAAGGAAAAGGAGAUAAGAAAAUAUACAGAAGCUAUAAAGCAAACAAAUUCUAUAUGUAUAGUUUGAUGAAAUACAAAAGGACCGAUAUAAAAAUCUGGACGAAUUAGGGGAGCGUAUUUGGGAGGAAUGUUCGACACAUUGAAGCCAUUAAACUUGGAGAUAAGUUUUAAUUACUUUUUUUGUAAUAAUUAAAUUAUGCAGUGAUAAUAAGUAAUCUCGUAAAUUGGAUGCUCUACAGACACGUGAAAAUAUUAAGAGGACAUAGCCGUUUGAACCUUCGAAAUUAUGAAUAGAU